rnacentral:rRNA from 1 species
ACUCCACAAACAAGUGUUAACACCGGAUCCCAUCAGAACUCCGAAGUUAAGCGUGCUUGGACGAGAAUAGUACUAGGAUGGGUGACCCCCUAGAAAGUCCUCGUGUUGCACCU